rnacentral:misc_RNA from 1 species
GUCCAUCUAACAAUCUUCCCUUAUAUACGGGACCAAAGCCACCUUGUCCAAGUUUUUUACUUAAAUCAAAGUUGUUUGUUGCGAUGGCCAGCUUCUCAAAAUCAUAAAGAGGUAGUUCUUCAAUUUACUUUUGUCCCUAAUCAUGUCAUCCCUUCUCAAAUUCAAUCUUUUCCCGUUUUUGUUAUACUCCUCUGCAUAAACUAACUAUAUAACACU